UACGAAGGGUGCAAGCGUUACUCGGAAUUACUGGGCGUAAAGCGUGCGUAGGUGGUGAGUUAAGUCUGAUGUGAAAUCCCCGGGCUCAACCUGGGAAUGGCAUUGGAUACUGGCUCGCUAGAGUGCGGUAGAGGGUGGUGGAAUUCCCGGUGUAGCAGUGAAAUGCGUAGAGAUCGGGAGGAACAUCUGAGGAGACGGCGACCACCGGGAUCAACACUGACACUGAGGCACGAAAGCGUGGGGAGCAAACAGG
rnacentral:rRNA from 1 species